AACUUCCUUUUAUAUGGGACGAAAAAAAGGUCUUUCUAGACCCCUUGACGGUACCAUAUGAAUAAGCACCGGCUAACUCCGUGCCAGCAGCCGCGGUAAUACGGAGGGUGCAAGCGUUAUCCGGAUUCACUGGGUUUAAAGGGUGCGUAGGCGGGUAGGUAAGUCAGUGGUGAAAUCCUGGAGCUCAACUCCAGAACUGCCAUUGAUACUAUCUGUCUUGAAUAUUGUGGAGGUAAGCGGAAUAUGUCACGUAGCGGUGAAAUGCUUAGAUAUGACAUAGAACACCUAUUGCGAAGGCAGCUUACUACGCAUAUAUUGACGC
rnacentral:rRNA from 1 species